rnacentral:pre_miRNA from 1 species
GGCACAAACUUGAAGUAGAAUAGUGGGGUAUGGUCAGCUGAUGCUACCAAUCUACUCUACUUCAAGUUUGUGAUC